GGGGAAUUAGCUCAAAUGGUACAGUGCUUGCUUAGUGUGCUAGAGGUAGUGGGAUCAAUGCCCGCAUUCUCCA
rnacentral:tRNA from 1 species